CUCUGUCUCUGUCUCGCCCAGUUCUCUCAUUCUCGUUGCUAACUCAUUUUUUUUGUCUAUUUUUGGUUUAUUUUGUCACCUAGUUUAUUUUUGUCCCAUUUUCUUUAGUCUCAGUUCGUCUUCCUUCUUCUGCCAUUCAUCCAGUUUCUUGUCUGUCUCUCAAUUCUCGUUCUUUUCUUCCGUUCCUGAUCCAGUUCUUGACAGUCUCUUGUUAUAUUCUUCAUCCAGUCUCUCUCUCUCUCUCUCUCUCUCUCUCUCUCUCUCUCUCUCUCUCUCUCUCUCUCUCUCUCUCUCUCUCUCUCUCUCUCUCUCUCUCCCCCUCCUCCUCCUCUAUAUAAUUCCCCCUUACUAAAACCCCAAACAUUAAACCCAUUCAUAUAAACCUCACGUCCUGGGAAGCAUCUCUUAAACCAUUCACUUGUGUUGUGUUGGCAAUGCGAUUUAAACCCUUGAUUGAGUCACACUAAGUUUGACGCUAAAGAACGCUGAUUUUAUACCUGUUUUUCGCUACAUUUGCUGCUGCUGUUACGGAUUCUGAUUCUGAUGCUGAUGACUAUGAUAAUUGAGGGUACUGGCUAUUGUGGGACCGUUGAAAAGAAGGAGUAUUUGUGAUUUUGAAGCCCAUAAGGUCACAGUCUUAAACAUCUCGUCUCCCAAGCACACAUAUUUGACAAGGCUUUCGUAGGAGUUCUAGGCAUUUUCAGGGGGUAGUUUUAUGACCCUGGUGGUAGUAUUACCCUUCUUCUGUACCAUGAACCUAAGAAACACAUAUUUGACAAGGCUUUCGUAGGAGUUCUAGGCAUUUUCCAGGGGUAGUUUUAUGACCCUGGUGGUAGUCUGACCUUUCUUACGUACCAUGAACCAAAGAAACACAUAUUUGACAAGGCUUUCGUAGGAGUUCUGGGCAUUUUCAGGGGGUAGUUUUAUGACCCUGGUGGUAGUCUGACCCUUCUUCUGUACCAUGAAUCUAAGAAACACAUAUUUGACAAGGCUUUCGUAGGAGUUCUAGGCAUUUUCAGGGGUAGUUUUAUGACCCUGGUGGUAGUCUGACCCUUCUGUGCCAUGAGCCUAAGGAAACACUCAUUAGAAUCCGAUUAAUCUCCUUUGUUGCCUUGGGAAUUAGUUGCUAUGGGAUCCAAAAACGUUUAAGAAAAUGGGCCUACGAGAUUUUGAUGUAGAUUCUAAUCCUCUUUGUGUGGGGGGCUUAGAAUUGGAACCUGUAUCUGAAGUGGUCUCAAGGUAUUCAGUGGCUUAUGUGUGGGGUUGAUUUAAGGUUACGUUGGGGCUUGGUAAGGGGAUCCGAUUCCUUGUUAGGAGGUUGUAAUGUAUUCGGAACUCUUGUGUCUGGGGUUGAGUAGUCUGUUUGGGCCUCGAAGAAGGGAUUUAUAUAUUUAUUUAUUUAUAGAAGUUGACGUGUUGUUCAGAAAUUUGUAUAUGUGUGGUGAUUUUGUUGUUGUUUGUGUGUGGGUUUUGGGGUAUAUGUCUGUGUGUGUGUGUGUGUGUGUGUGUGUGUGUGUGUGUGUGUGUGUGUGUGUGUGUGUGUGUGCGUGUGAUCUCGUGAAAUACUGUUUUGUGUGGGAGAGAAAAAAAAAUAUAUAAUCGAUUUUUUUUCUUUUUUUUCUCUUCUCGAAUGUUUAGUUAUUAAUUCUUUCUUUCUUUCUCCCUUUCUGUCUAUCUAUCUAUCUAUCAUGUGUUGAGUUUUAAUAUAUGUGGUGUUGGUGGUGGUGGUGAUGGUGAUGAUGAUGGUGUUGAAAUAGGUGGUGGUGGUGGUGGUGGUGGUGAUGGUGGUGUUGAAAUAAGUAGAUAAAGUAAUGAUUUUGAUAGACAUUCCGCUCUCUAUCUAUCUAUCUAUCUAUCUAUAGGCACUCGACCCUUCCAUCCAUUGUUCAGUCAUGCGUUGAGCGAAGACAAACGAGGAUCAUUACUCUGAAUCACGCCUCUUUAACGGGCCUGAUUUGUAGGCUCCGAUCCCAUUUAGAGAGUGUUAAUGCAGUGACAGGGGAUUGGAACCUUUAUCAUGGAGUUGGAAUCUAUAAUAGGGGAUUGGGACUGAGUAUAGGGGAUUGGGACCUUCAUAGUGUGUUGAUUUAGUGAUACAGGGUUGGAAUCUGUAUAAAGAGAGGUGAUUUAGUGAUAGACGAUUCGAAUUUAAAGAUAGAAGUGAAAUUUAAGUGAAAGAAAUGAAAAGACGAGAAUUAUAAGUGUUUUGGAAGAUAAGAGAAACAGCAGAAAAGAAGAUAGAAGAGAAGGAAAAGAUAAUACAACAAAGAGAAACUGAAUACCAAGUAAAAAUAGAAAAAGCGAUAAAAGAAUAAAAAAGAAAAGGGAAUAAAUAUAGAAGAAGGGAAGUAAGAAAGAGGAACAGAGAAAGCCAAAAAAAAAGACAAAUGAAGACAGAAAAACGAGAGGAAAACAAGACAAAACAGAAGACAACUCCACACUUAAAACAACACAGCAGGCAGCGAAAGGCGUCUCGUGUGACCUUUUCAGCCGCGCACGAGAGAUUUUAAAAGUAGCGAAAGAACAGCUGAUUAACAUUGAAAUCAGUCCAUCCUUAAUGUCGUGUGUCCAGCCCUCCCUCCUCUCUCCCUCCCCUCUCUCUUCCUCCCUCUCCUUCUCUCCCCUUCCCUCUCCCUCCCUCUUUCUCUCCCUCCCUCUCUUCCUUCCUCUCUCUCCCUCUCUCCCUCCCUCUCUUCCUUCCUCUCUCUCCCUCUCUCCCUCCCUCUCUUCUCUCCUUCUCUCCCUCUUCUCCUUCCUCUCCCUCCCUCCCUCCUCUAACACAACCUUCUGCUCUUAAUGCCAAUCCCAUGUGUGUGUGUGUGUGUGUGUGUGUGUGUGCGUGUUGUCAGCGGGGCGGAGAACACAUCCUAAAUUAUUGACGAGGAUGAAAAGGCCGGCAUAGCGGAGAACCAAGAGAGAGAAGAAAAAAAAUUGAGCAGGUGGAGAUUAAAAUGUGAUGCCGUUGGUUGAAAAGAUGAAAACAAAUGGAGUUGAAAGAGUAAUGGAUGGAGUUGAAAGUAUAAUACUGUGUGAUAGAAAAGAAGAAAGCGAAGGAAUUGAAAGUAUUGAAGGCGUUUGAAGGAAGAGAAACAGAGAGAUGGAGUUCAAAGUUCAAUGACGUUUGGAAAAGAAAACUAAGAAAAAGGUAAAGUUGAAAGAGUAAUGGAGUAUGGAAAAGAGGAAGAAAUAGAUGGAAUUGAAAGUAUUAAAGGCGUUUGAAGGAAGAGAAACAGAGAGAUGGUGUCCAAAGUUUAAUGACGUUUGGAAAAGAAAACUAAGAAAAGGUAAAGUUGAAAGAGUAUUGGAGUAUGGAGAAGAAAAAGAAAUAGAUGGAAUUGAAGGAGUAAAGACGUUUUAAAGAAAGGAGAAACGGGACAGGCGUAGAAUGAAAGAGUGAAAGA